UACGUAGGUGGCAAGCGUUGUCCGGAUUUACUGGGCGUAAAGGGCGUGCAGGCGGCUUGUUAAGUCUAGGGUGAAAGCUCCCGGCUCAACUGGGAGAGGUCCUUGGAUACUGGCAGGCUCGAGGGAGGUAGAGGAAAGUGGAAUUCCCGGUGUAGUGGUGAUAUGCGUAGAUAUCGGGAGGAACACCUGUGGCGAAGGCGGCUUUCUGGGCCUUACCUGACGCUGAGACGCGAAAGCGUGGGGAGCGAACCGG
rnacentral:rRNA from 1 species